UAUGCAUAUUUAAUAUUUAUCUUGGAUCAAUCUUUAUUAUCAUCGAUGUUGUACAAAGACUCAAAGCUCUAUUUUCACACACUAUUCGGAUAUCGAUCAGUGAUGACCGAAAGUAAAAUUACAGGUUUUAUACGGUAAUGUAAGUCAAUCUAUUUGUAUUUAUCUAUAUGAUUUAGUUUUAUGGAUGAUUAUGGAUGAAAUAGGUAUAGGGUAAUGAUUUGAUUGGGAGGUUAAAAAAACCCUAAAUUUUGAGAUGAUACUCGUAUAAAUUUUGCGAAGUAGCUGCUAUCGGUGACAUAGACGCUGAUAAAAGGGAUAUAGUAUUGGAAACACUAAUUUAGAACUUUGACUGAUGCGGUUGAUAAGGUAUGGUAACCUCUUUCGCAUAUAUUGUUUUACUAACCCUGUUGACUUAAUUACUCUUAAAAAUAACCAACUUUUAGCACCUUAAAGUCCAAAAUAUUCCUGGCGGCAGUAUCAAUUAUGUAGCCUAAUGCGGCAGUAUCAAUUACGUAGCACCUUUAAGCAAGGCUAUUUAAUUGAAGAAUUCUUCAACCAUACGUUUUAAACAUUUGUUGCUUAUAUACUGGAGAACGAAGGUACGUUCCUGUUGACAUGAUUCUGGCUAUGGACUUUGAUUCUCUACAUUCUUUUGAUGCCAUUGGUGAGGUAAUCCAUUGUCAAAUACCGAUCUUAUGAUUGUCAAAGAAAGAGAAGUACGUUUCAAAGUCGUGUUGUUUCAUACUGAAGACAACUGCUAUGAAGAUUGACACUGAAAAUGGUUGGUUCUACCAUGCUUGUAGCAAAUGCUCAAAGAAGUUUAACCGUCAACUGGAGGACGAUACCGAAUCUCACACAAAUGCAAGGUUUGUAUGUGGUAAAUGUGGUGUGGUAACCGAUAUGUACCCUAAAAUUCAAGUUCGGGUUUGUGUUCAAGAUGAUACGGGAUGCAUCUUAUGUGUUAUAUUUGAGAGUCAUGUAACACGUUAUGUCAACAAGCCGGCUUUCGUGCUGGUGAAUAAUGCUAUCAAUGGUGAACACUCUCAGAUAUACCCAGCUGAAUUUAACUUUUUCUUUGUCGGCAAGAGCCAAGAGGUUUGCUUGGAGAAUCAAGGUAUCAAGAUACAACAUCGAGAACAACUCCGAUGCACACACGGUGAAUAAGUUCUCUGGUGAUGAUAAUGUUAUUAAGGCUAUCCUUAAAAAGGCAGCCAAACGUAAGACGAUCCAUCUAAUGUUGAUCACUAAGUAUUGAAUGAACAACCAUGUCAUACUGGCCUUGUUGUAAAGGAUAUUAUGUUGAAGCAAUUAAAAGUAAUGCCUCAAGUGCAAGUUCAAAGAAAGUGACUGAAUGUGAUGAUAUAGACCUAGAUGUUCAUAAAAUGGAAAUCCCAAAGCUAGAGAAGUUUUAAAUACUUCUCAUUACCACAAAUAUCAUGUUUCAUGUUUUCAUGUUUAAUUGAGAAUUUUUAUAUGUUUUGACUUUACAUGUCAGGGUGAGAUUGUUUGGCUAUUGUUAUUUUUUUUCAUUCUUUGUUGUUUUUGAUGAAUCUUCAAACG